AUGUCCAUAUCAUGUUCAAACACCGGUUCUCCUACGAUCACUGAAGUUAAGCAACGUCCAAGUUAGUACCUUGAUGGGUGACAAAUUGGGAAUAACAGGUGCUGUA